rnacentral:rRNA from 1 species
UACGGGGGGGGCAAGCGUUGUUCGGAAUUACUGGGCGUAAAGGGCUCGUAGGUGGCCAACUAAGUCAUACGUGAAAUCCCUCGGCUUAACCGGGGAACUGCGCCUGAUACUGGUUGGCUUGAGUUUGGGAGAGGGACGCGGAAUUCCAGGUGUAGCGGUGAAAUGCGCAGAGAUCGGGAGGAACACCCGUAGCGAAGGCGGCGCUCUGGGCCGGUACUGACGCUGAGGAGCGAAAGCGUGGGGAGCAAACAGG